GGCGCCAUGGCUUAGUCGGUUAAAGCGCCUGUCUAGUAAACAGGAGAUCCCCGGUUCGAAUCCGGGUGGUGCCU
rnacentral:tRNA from 2 species